CCUACGGGAGGCAGCAGUGAGGAAUAUUGGUCAAUGGACGAGAGUCUGAACCAGCCAAGUAGCGUGAAGGAUGACUGCCCUAUGGGUUGUAAACUUCUUUUAUAUGGGAAUAAAAUGUUCCACGUGUGGGAGUUUGUAUGUACCAUAUGAAUACGGAUCGGCUAAAUCCGUGCCAGCAGCCGCGGUCAUACGGAGGAUCCGAGCGUUCUCCGGAUUUAUUGGGUUUAAAGGGAGCGUAGGUGGAUUGUUAAGUCAGUUGUGAAAGUUUGCGGCUCAACCGUAAAAUUGCAGUUGAAACUGGCAGUCUUGAGUACAGUAGAGGUGGGCGGAAUUCGUGGUGUAGCGGUGAAAUGCUUAGAUAUCACGAAGAACUCCGAUUGCGAAGGCAGCUCACUGGACUGCAACUGACACUGAGGCUCGAAAGUGUGGGUAUCAAACAGGAUUAGAUACCCGGGUAGUC
rnacentral:rRNA from 1 species